rnacentral:lncRNA from 10 species
CAGAGGUCUGAAGAAGGCAGGAUUUCCUGUUCGUAGCUCAGGAGAGCAGACAGUGGUGUUAAGCAGGAAAAGCACAUUAGAAUUCCAGUUUACUUACAGUGCUCUCCACACCAGGAAGGAAAUGCCCCAAAUAUGAACAUGGCUUCCACUAAGAUAAAUGGCCCCAAUCUAGGGGAUUCCCAUUUGCAUCAGAAAAACUGUUAAUAUAGAGAUCAGAGUUUUUACCUGCUACAUCUUUCAUAUUUUCUUUCCUUAGGUUAAAAAGAUCAAGUGGCAUGAGCAGCCUUUUGGGGAAAAUUGGUGCCAAGAAGCAGAAAAUGAGCACCCUUGAGAAGUCCAAACUGGACUGGGAGAGCUUCAAGGAGGAAGAGGGGAUUGGUGAAGAACUGGCCAUCCAUAAUCGAGGGAAAGAGGGAUGGAUUAAAGGAGCCCAGCCCCUAGGCCAGUGAAGGGACUGGAGCUCUGUUCUUCACCUUGGCUGAGCAUGAGAAUCCUCUGGUGACAUUUUCCAAAGUUCAGGUGACCACCUCUGUACAGAGCUGCUGAAUCAAGAGUCUAGAACAGGUACAUUGAACGGAAAGCCUUCCUUGACCGAGUGGAUCACAGGCAGUUUGAAAUUGAGCGAGAUCUCAGGCUGAGCAAAAUGAAACCUUGAUGUUACGGGCUAAAUCAAGAGCAGCUUAAUCCUGUUUACAAUGU